rnacentral:rRNA from 1 species
GCGCACCAAGCGCGAAACUUUACAAUGUGCGAAAGCACGAUAAGGGAACUCUGAGUGCCUCCUAAGGAGGCUGCUCUGAUGUCUAAAAAGCAACAGAAGUAAGGGCUGGGUAAGACCGGUGCCAGCCGCCGCGGUAACACCGGCACGCCCAAGUGGUAGCCACGUUUAUUGGGUCUAAAGCGUUCGUAGCCGGCCAGGUAAGUUCCUUGGUAAAUUUAGCCGCUUAACGGUUAAGCUUUCAGGGAAUACUGCUUGGCUUGGGACUGGGAGAGGUCAGAGGUACGUCCGGGGGUAGGGUGAAAUCUAUUAAUCCCGUGGGGGACCACCGGUAGCGAAGGCGUCUGACCAGACCAGGUCCGACGGUGAGGGACGAAGGCGUAGGGGCGCGAACCGGAUUAGAUACCCGGGUAGU